UAACACGUGGGUAACCUGCCCAUCAGAAGGGGAUAACACUUGGAAACAGGUGCUAAUACCGUAUAACAAUCGAAACCGCAUGGUUUCGGUUUGAAAGGCGCUUUUGCGUCACUGAUGGAUGGACCCGCGGUGCAUUAGCUAGUUGGUGAGGUAACGGCUCACCAAGGCAACGAUGCAUAGCCGACCUGAGAGGGUGAUCGGCCACACUGGGACUGAGACACGGCCCAG
rnacentral:rRNA from 1 species